rnacentral:rRNA from 1 species
CCCCGGGUCUUGCCUCAGUAACGGCGAGUGAAGCGGCAAAAGCUCAAAUUUGAAAUCUAGCACCUUCGGUGUUCGAGUUGUAAUUUGAAGAUGGUAACCUUGGGUUUGGCUCUUGUCUAUGUUCCUUGGAACAGGACGUCAUAGAGGGUGAGAAUCCCGUCUGAUGAGAUGCCCAUUCCUAUGUAAGGUGCUAUCGAAGAGUCGAGUUGUUUGGGAAUGCAGCUCUAAGUGGGUGGUAAAUUCCAUCUAAAGCUAAAUAUUGGCGAGAGACCGAUAGCGAACAAGUACAGUGAUGGAAAGAUGAAAAGAACUUUGAAAAGAGAGUGAAAAAGUACGUGAAAUUGUUGAAAGGGAAGGGCAUUAGAUCAGACUUGGUGUUUUACGAUUAUCUUCUCUUCUUGAGUUGUGCACUCGUAUUUCACUGGGCCAGCAUCGAUUCGGAUGGCAAGAUAAUGGCAGUUGAAUGUGGCUUCACUUCGGUGGAGUGUUAUAGCUUCUGCUGAUAUUGCCUGUCUGGAUCGAGGGCUGCGUCUUUUGACUAGGAUGCUGGCGUAAUGAUCUAAUGCCGCCCGUUU